rnacentral:rRNA from 1 species
UUGCCUACGGGGGGCUGCAGUCGAGAAUCUUCGGCAAUGGGCGCAAGCCUGACCGAGCGACGCCGCGUGUGGGAUGAAGGCCCUUGGGUUGUAAACCACUGUCAGAGGGGAUGAAGUGCACGAGAGCUAUCUCUUGUGCUUGACAUAGCCUCAGAGGAAGCACGGGCUAAGUUCGUGCCAGCAGCCGCGGUAAUACGAACUGUGCAAACGUUAUUCGGAAUCACUGGGCUUACAGGGUGCGUAGGCGGCUUGCUAAGUAGGGUGUGAAAGCCCCCGGCUCAACCGGGGAAUUGCGCCCUAAACUGGCGAGCUGGAGUGAGAUAGGGGUGUGCGGAACUUCCGGUGGAGCGGUGAAAUGUGUUGAUAUCGGAAGGAACGCCGGUGGCGAAAGCGGCACACUGGAUCUCAACUGACGCUCAUGCACGAAAGCGUGGGGAUCAAACAGGAUUAGAUACCCCGGUAGUCUA